CACAAACUUAAGUAAAAAGAUACCUGAUGAUGCUGACCUACCUUCAAUAGGCCAGGAUUUAGACAGUCUCAUGGGUACCAUUGGGACAUUUGAAGAAACCCCGGUUGAAGAAGGUGUGAAGGACACAAUCGAUCAACCGAUCACAAAAGAUGCUGUUUCAGCUUCUGGCGAUGAAAUGCCGAAGGUCACUGACCAAUCAGAGAGACGCAUCUCACAUGAAUCCACAUUAAAAGAUGGGCAACUUGACAUACAUGUAGAAGAGGAAUCUACUGUACAGACAACACCAACACAUCCUAGUCAAGUAAGACACUUUUAUAUACU